UUUUUACCUCAUUUGUAGGGUCAUAGGUGCAUAACUGCGCUAUGCAUGGUUCGUCUUUACCUUCAGGUAGUAGAGUUCCUAUUUUGUGGUAUUUUGGGCCAUUCAUUCCAAAUACAUAAGGUCCACAGCCAUUGUUUAUUUUUGUGUGUACCUUUCCUCCCGUUGAUAUGAAAGCGAACAUGGACUUGAAUAAUCUGAAUAUUUUGCAUGUAGUUAUUCCACCUUUUUCCGUUGUGUUUCCUUAGCAAUUUGGUAUGGUUAUCCAGCGGCUCUCUCAAUAGUGGCAAGUCAACCUUGCCUGUUGGUAGCAUAGUCUGAAAGAUGGCAUGUUCUCGCUCUACUUGAAGUUCUUUCUUCGUACCAGAAAAUUGCACUACAUCACACACUUGCAACUUGGGUUUCUGACGUUCCAAAUUUUGACAUUGCCCUCUCCAAUGUCCUGUUCAAGUUUCCUAAUUGAGCAUCAAUUUAAAAUUCAUAUUGUCUAGUUGUUCUUGUUGGUACUAAAAAACCUUGAUAGAACUUACAUAUUUGGUGUUCUUUUCUCUAUCCUUGUUUUUCAUGUUGUACACUUUGUGUUAUAUUUAGUCCUUUACACACCCCUAAAAGAAAUACCAGGUUCUUGAAUGUCUAAAUUGUAUAUCUUGAUUGAACUUUCUUGCUACUUACCUCUUAGUCAUACCAGCCUACUGAUUAUUGAUUUUGUUUUUGUGUCGCUAGUUCUGGAUUCCUCUUUGUAUUUUUCUUUUCUUAUAUAGUCUUACAUCUCUAGCUAUUUAUGUUGUAUUACUUGCCCUGCAUAAGCAUAAUACCAUUAGUAGAAAUAAGAGUUUUUUUGCAACAUGCGUAAUUUUUUACUUGUAGUACGUGAUAUGUUUCCCUCUGGCAAUUCAACAAUGCUGAUUUCCCUCUGUCUUGAUUAAGCCAGAGUGCAUGGAAAUUUGUUCUCAUGUUUUUGACAAAGAAAUAAUUGAUAGCUUCAGUCAGGACCAAAUGUAACAUGUUUGAUUUAUUUAUUUGAACACUUCAAAUUAUCUGCAGCCCAUAUGGAAAUGCAUAGGCGAACGUGUGUGAUAACCAUAUGUGUAGGGUAAACUAUGUAAGACCAGAUAUUUGUACAUCAAAUACACUGAGUUAAUGAAGAAAUUUUUGUAAGCAUGGAAAGAGUGGAACACAUAGAUAGCACAAUUGAUGUGCAAAACAAAAGCAAGCUAUGAUGUUGCUUCCGGUAUAUUGUACUACAGUCGUGCAUCAUGUAAGGGAAGAUUAGCAGUUGAAUUCAGAACAGUAAGUAAAAAUUUUCUUACCGCACGUUGUCCAGAGGUUGUUCUCUUCUGGCAUAGUUGUGCAGUCUGACACGCCUCCAUGUAUGAGCGAAGGUUGUCUCUUUUUUUGGUCUUGAAGUUUCAUUGUCCUCUCCUAUCUUGAAAAUAACGUUUCACAUAAAUUACUAUAAAAAACAUGCUACCCAUACUUACUUUUUUUUACAUUCACAACUUCAGUCGUGGAGAAGUAACAUUCACAACUUCAGGUGUAAAGAAGUAACAAUCAUUAUGAAUAAAUACAUCGCUUAUGACGUACUUCAGUGCAACAUUUUUUUAUGUUGAAUACAUACAUAAUAAGAUAAUAAUUUGAAAUAUUUUUCCCGUCCAAGCUUAAUCACAAACCCACAUGUGCCUAACUUGGAUUGUUGCAUUAUAUAUUUUAGUUGUAAGAUAGUUAGAUAAUAUAUAGUGUCCACAAUUAGUAUUAUUGAGCUAUUUCCAUCGAAUGUUGAUGCGUGUUUGCAAUACUUAUGGGAGUAGUACAUCAUAUUUGUUCUACCAUAUCAUGUUAGCAUAGAAAAUUCAAUUUUAUUUUGAGUAUAGUUUGCAGUGUACUAAUUUUCCAUCUACUUAUGGUUAUCUAAAAAGGCUAGUAGCAUAUGUAAAUGUGUUUUUAGUUCCUACCGUUAGAAUAUUUUUGUGUUGACUAUGUUCUUGACCACAUCAUCCUUGUUAGUUCAUUUGCUAUAGAAAAUGAAAUAACAGGUGUGAUAAAGUCAGCAUGUUAUUACUUGCAAGUGUUUUGGAUACCCCCUUUCUCUUAUGUCUCUCAUGAACUCCUUGAGCUUUAUGUGCAACACUCGAACAAUGUGACGAUUGGUUGAUUCCCUUGUGUGUUCUGAUGCUGACGCGUUAAUCCUGUUUUUACCUCAUUUAUGGGGUCAUAGGUGCAUAUAUUAUUAAAGAGGAUCAGGUAUAUUAUAAGAUCAUCAUGGAGUACUCCUUAAGGUUCUAAAAAAUUAUGAUUUUGAUUAUUUUUUCAUCUUACAAAUUUUCUUCUUUGUUGUAGAAAUGAAGGAGACCUAGUGGGUAUUAAGUUCCAGUCUUCAGGUGAAAACACACAUACUAUGGUACUUACUGGAGGCUCGCUCGAUGGGCCGAUGGAGCAAUUGAGGAUAUUGGGGCACUUGCUUGUGAGAGUUCUUUUUUUUUCUUUGAGGGAAAGCCAUCAUUGUGGUGUAUGUUAAUUUGGAGUAAUACUGUAAUAGCUAUAUCAUUAUGGUAUAUGUCUAACCUAUCAUGAGUUUUGUUUAUGCGAUCAUGAGAUUGAUUGUGA